UUUUCAUGUGACACCAAUCCAUUUAACAUUAUAUCACGUUGAAUUGUCUCUUCGAUGCUGGUUUCAAUCUCCCCCCUUCACCCAUCACAGGUCCAUCCAAAAGGUAUGUCAGGUCCUCCAUGAAGAACCCUUCUUCUCCCCCACAGACACCGACAAUGAUUUAUUUAUUCCAGCCUUCACAGCCUCAACAGACACAACUAACCAACACGUUGGUUACUUAACUACUCCACGGUGCCGCUUGAUGCGAAUGGACGUAUCUGGAAAGGUCGUCACAACGUGGAGCCGCGUGACUGGUCGUCCCAGUUGGUGGUCUCCAGGGGCAACGGGGCCACGCAGGACCUGCUGGUGGUGAGCAUCACCAAUGCUCAAUGUUCAACUUACACAGGAGGGUUCAGAUGAUUAUGCAGAAGACUUUGUGGUGUUAAACGUUGCGGUGGGAUCAGCAGUGCGCUGUCCCACUGCUUCCACUGGGGGGGGCUGCUUUCAUCCUGCAGGGAGCCAGUCACACACCAGACUAGUAACUGGAUGCGAUGAACAUCGAACCCGGACUCCUUACUGUGCUUUGGGACUUUUAACAGAGGAAACCUCAGUCAGGAACUCCUCAAACACAAACAUCUAGUUACAUGCUCCACCAGAGAGGAGAACACUGCACCACUGCUACUCCACCAUAAGGGCCUUUCACCACGGUGACUCACAACCAGUCAGGGGCCUGGUGGUGCUGGUGGUGCUGGUGGUGCAGUGGUUAGCACUGUCAGGGUUUGACCCCCCCCCCCUGCUGCAAUGCUGUGGUUCACAAUCUAGUGACUGUGAGAAAAACAAGUAUGACAAAAGAUAUUUUAAAGGUUCAGUGUUAAGAAAAAAUCCAAUACAAUAAUUUGCAAAAAGAAUCAUAUAAAUCUCAUACUUUAGUCAUUUGAGGGGGCGGAAUAUUUAUUUAAAUAGGAAGUGGCCGACACCAGGAGGUUCAGAGGCUGGACAACUGAUGCUGUCUCUAUGGGCAACGUCCAUACGGUUGCCACAGCAACCGACAGCAGGGACCUGCAUUUUGUCGAUGUCUCCACGGGCAAUGUGAUCUGAGGACGUCCGUCUCGGUAAACCUCAUUGGUCCACCUCACCUGACUGGUCUCACCUUUUUUGAGGGUUUCCCGGCGUCCCGACUGCCCUUUGUUAUGAAGAUGUUCAGGGGGCUGAAUGUCGCGACCUACCGACCUGCUGAGUCAUUGAAGAUAAGACUCAACAUUUAUAUUGCUUUUUGUUUUAUUAUUUCCUAUCACGUGUGAGCUUUCUGUGAGUCCUGACAUGUCCUUGUUUCUGCAGCCCGUCUGAAAACCGUCUCGCUGCAGUUCCCCGGAUCCCUGACGAGGACCACUUCCUCUUCCCGUGGCUGCGUCCUGCUGAGCGGACCCAGGCUCGUCUGGAGGAGGGAUGCAAAGAUCCCCUGGGCUCGGCCCGGCUGACAGGAGAACGGGAGGGGUGGUGACGGUGGGGAACCUGGACCACGCUGCCCUCUCGUGCUCUGUGCCACUGAGACGGGUGGUGCUCACGGAGAAGGUAAUGAGAAGACAACCCCCCCCCCCCGACAGGUGUGGAACCUACUGAUUGGAGCCCACCACCGACUCUGAGGUCGCAGGGUCGACCUGUCUCCAUGACAACCGGCUGCUGUCCGUCGGGUGGAGCCAGCGGGUCGCUCAGUACGACAUCGCGAGGACAACGGCAGGUGCUUGGAAGUGAUAAUCAGCUGUUACAUUGAGAGCGUUGACUGGUGGCCUUGUGACCUGCACGGAGGAGUUAACGGCAUCGGCGUCGCAGGGUGAUCAUUUUGAGCGACCACACCCGUCACUGGAUCAUCAGGUGACGCCGAGCGGAGCUUCCUCGCGUCACAAGUUCCACCCGGAUGUGCCGCUGAAUCGGAGGAGUUCUCAGAAUCCCUGAGAUGGAAGAAAGCAAUUUCGCCACAUACCGGCCAAAUUAUCCACAGGCUUCACGAGGUCGCUGGCACCGAGCCGGGGAAAUGUUCAUCGCACAUUGUGAGCAGGUCCUGGAGAGCUGCUCCUCAGUUCAUAUGACAGAAGAGCAAUGAGAUGAUGAGGAGGGCCUCCAGUUAAAUAAGUGGGUUAUUUUGAGCACGUUUCAGCGGGGGAGGAAGCGAGCGCGCAGCCCUUUCGCUUCUCCGGGAUAAAUACAAACAGACACAGCCGGGACACGCGGGGCACGUUAGCUACGCCGCGCUUUGCUCCCCUGGAGCAACGCGACAGAAGACAACGCAGCAGUAAGGACACGAGACAACAGAUGAUUACAAGUCCUCGUGUUUAACCACUUUUGUGUUUAAUAAGAAAAAUGCAU